rnacentral:rRNA from 1 species
UACAGAGGGGGCAAGCGUUGUUCGGAAUUACUGGGCGUAAAGGGCGCGUAGGCGGCCAACUAAGUCAGACGUGAAAUCCCUCGGCUCAACCGGGGAACUGCGUCUGAUACUGGAUGGCUCGAAUCCGGGAGAGGGAUGUGGAAUUCCAGGUGUAGCGGUGAAAUGCGUAGAUAUCUGGAGGAACACCCGUGGCGAAGGCGGCAUCCUGGACCGGUAUUGACGCUGAGGCGCGAAAGCGUGGGGAGCAAACAGG